GGGAGUUGGGGGAUGGGGAAGAACGUUGUUAGAGAGCUGAUGAUUUCCCCUCUCUGAGUCCACACACAGACAGCUUCAUUUUGUGCCCUGGAUGCCAGGCUGUGAAUGAGUUGGUGAGGGCAGCAUUGUGUCUACUGGGUCCAUGGUGCCAUGGGCUCACAGACAGACACAGCGCCCCAUUCAUACACACUCUACUGGCGUAAGACUGUGGGCGCCGUGUGUGUGUUUAGUGUUGCCAUGUGUGAGAAUCGCUCAGCUUGCAGGUUUUUCUUUGCAAAUGUAUGUAUGCGUUUCGGCAUCAUUUCACUAUCUGUGGUUAGCAUGGUUUUGUUUAAAAGAUAGUCGGCAUGGAGGGCUGGAGGGAUGGGGGGAUAAGAUAAGACCACUGAGGAGGAAGGAGAGAGGGGGAGAGAGAGGGAAGUUGAGGGAACUUGUGACCCCGAGCGUGUAUCGACAUUUGUGCGCUGCAGGAGGGAUCUCUAUUGUCAUUGAAUGUUUUUCUUUGUGUUUUUAGGUGUGUUUGUCUGUUUUGUGUAUAUAGGCUUCAUGCUCCAGCACUUUCACUUCUGUGAAGUCUUCCCUCCCCAGCUGGAGAGACAAUCACUAUUUCCCUCUCAGGAGUAUUUUCAUACAAUUUAUGUUCAUUAUCCAACUGCCCGCCCACAUUUUCCUUCUAACGCACACAGUAGCAGUGUGUAUUUAUGUGUGAAUAUGCAGAGCCCGGCGGCAGUUAAUGUAGACAAGCAAAUGUAAAGUCUCUCAUUCCCUUUGGGGGUGAGUGUCAAUUCAACCUUGAGAGAGAAAUAACACAAGAGAGAGAGAGUGAGAGAGACACAAUACACUGCCUUCGGGUGUGAGGGGGAAGGGGAGGGGGAGGGGGAGAGAGUAAACAUGCGUAAGAUAAAUGGCUGUUCGUCAUGUUAGUUUACAGUUUAUGGUGAUUCUAUGUAGUUAUUUGUCUAAUGUAGCCUAUCCACUGCUCAACAACACCCAUGUAGGAUAUAUCUGGAUACAGUAUAUCCAGUGACACAAACACAUUCCCUCUCACUGGGCUCUCCUUCCACCCCAUCCUCACAUGGAGACACGACCCUCCAUGCUCAGCUGUCCUGCUUUAGGACAGGGUUGGGGUCAAAUCCAUUUCAAUUUCAUUAAAUGCUUUUCAAUGAGGAAAAUGUAGAAUUGGAAUUUAGGGCUCGAUUCAAUCCGUAUCGCAGAAGAUUAGCGUUAAAGGCAAUGUUUCCCCGUACGUAGAUACUGCAUUCACGGUGAAUGCUGCAUAUGUUGGCUCAAUCGGAAAUGACCUUUAAAUUUCAACCACGCUACAACACAGAUCUUCCACACUACAGACUGAAUCUAGCCCUUGGUUUACUUUCUGAAUUGACUGGAAUUAAUAUUUUAUUGACCCCCAACCCUGGUCCCCAUGCUCCCCUGUCCUGUCCCAUAUCCAGCCCCAUGCUCCCCUGUCCUGUCCCAUAUCCAGCCCCAUACUCCUUUGUCCUGCCCCAUGCUCCCCAGCUAGCAAUGAGGAAUCGGCCCAAAAGCGGUCCUCUUCUGGGGGGCCGGAACUGAUUGAAUCGGCCCGGAAUCGGGUGUCGGACUUGGCCCGGAAUCAAAAUGAAUGACUGCCCAGAAUCGGCCCAAGUACAUCGGGCCGUUUCCGUCUACUGGAAUUCAGCCGACUUUGCCGGCAUCUUACCAGAAUCCCCCCAGAAUCAGCCUGAUGCAAAUUUAAAUAAAUGUAUACAAAAUUACCAGAUUUUUGUAAUUUUCAAUAUUACUAUUAUACAUUUUAUACAUACAAAUUUUACCCGUCCACAAAAAUGUUUUGUCUCUGAGGAAAGACCAUACACCUGGUAACCGUGCAUGCGCCUAGCCCAGCACAGGAGUCACUACAGCGCGAUGGGACAAGGACAUCCUGGCCGGCAAAACCCUCCCAUAACUCAGACGACGCUGGGCCAAUUCUGCGUCACCUAAUGGGUCUCCCGGUCGCGGCCAGCACGGGUCUCAAUCCAGCAUCUGUAGAAACGCAGUUUGCACUGCGAUGUAGUGUCUUAGACCGCUGCACCACUCGGGAAGUUCAAAAUGCAAAAGUUCAAAAUGCAAAGCUUUUCAUUCUUAUCAGUUGCCUUGCACAAAGUAUCAAAAUACUAAAAUACUACACAGGACUAUUAAAGAAUUUCAUUUAAAUGUUCAUUGUAUACACCUACGACAACAUCCGAUGAAAUUGCAGAGCGCGAAGUUCAAAAUACUAAAAUCGUAAUAUUAAACAUUCAUGAAAAUACAAGUGUCAUACAUCAUUUAAAAGCUUAACUUCUUGUUAAUCCAACCGCGUUGUCAGAUAUCAAAAAGGCUUUACGGCGAAAGCAUACCAUGUGAUUAUCAGCACCCCACACAAAACAGCACCCCACACCAAAAUACUUUUUCAACCAGCACAUGCAUCACAAAAUCACAAACAGUGAUUAAAUCAAUCCCUUACCUUUGAAGAUCUUCCUCUGUUUGCAAUCCAAAGGGUCCCAGCUACACAAUGAAUGGUCAUUUUGUUCGAUAAAGUCCUUCUUUAUAUCCAAAAAAGUCAGUUUAGUUGGCGCCAAUGAUCUCAGUAAUCCACUCUUUCAACAUGCAUACAAACGAACCCAAAAAGUUACCAGUAAAGUUCAUCCAAACAAGUCAAACGAUGUUUCUAAUUAAUCCUCAGGUACUCUAAUAUCUAAAUAAAUGCUAAUAUUUAAGACGGAGAAUAGUAUGUUGAAUAGGGAAGAUAAAUAACGAAGUGCACGCACCUCAUUCCCACGCCAACAAGACCACUUUUCUAAUGAGAGACUCCUUGGAGUUCUUCAAACUACUUGUUCAUUUUUCAAAAACAAGCCUGAAACCGUUUCUAAAGACUGUUGACAUCUAGUGGAAGCCAUAGGAAUUGCAAUCUGGGUCCUAUCUAUUUGUAUAUCUCAUAGGAAACCAUUGAAAUAACCUGUGACCCCAAAAAAAGAAAAGUUUCCGGAUGGAUUUUCCUCUGGUUUUUGCCUGCCAUAUCAGUUCUGUUAUACUCACUAUUUCACUCAUACUCACUCAUUAUUUUAACAGUUUUAGAAACUUCAGAGUGUUUUCUAUCCAAUGCUACCAAGUAUAUGCAUAGCCUAGCUUCUGGGCCUGAGUAACAGGCAGUUUACUUUGGGCACGUCAGUCAUCCGAAAUUCCGAACAAAAAACAGUCUCCAAAACAGGUUUUAACUAGGCAAGUCAGUUAAGAACAAAUUCUUAUAUUCAAUGACGGCCUAGGAACAGUGGGUUAACUGCCUUGUUCAGGGGAAGAAUGACAGAUUUUUACCUUGUCAGUUUGGGGAUUUGAUCUUGCAAUCAUUUUGGUUGCUAGUCCAACGCUCUAGCCACUAGGCUACUGAGUGCCCUGACUCUUAGCCUGAAUCGGCCCAGAUCCACUGGGCUAGCUGCCCCUUCUCCAGCCCCAUGCUCCCCUGUCCUGACCCCUACUCCAGCCCCAUGCUCCCCUGUCCUGACCCUACAUCCAGCCCCAUGCUCCCCUGUCCU
rnacentral:lncRNA from 8 species